UUCGUUGUUUCAGGACAUACAUAGAGGAGUUAUCACUGGAGAUAAAUCAUAAAUGAAUGAAUCUUUGAAGAAAUUGACAAAACUACCUUCCAGGGUCUAAUCUAGAUAAGUGUCCAUGUCCAUGUCCUAGCAAAAAUAGCAACUAAUAAUUUUGUUAAAUUUUAAUCUGAUGCUUAAAUUGUUAUUUGAAUGUAGGUAUUGUUGUUCUAUUAAUAGAAUAGAGGUCCGCCUUCCCCUUCCACAUGAAUUCAACGGUGAGUUCCUAAUUUCAGUCAGUUUGUAAUACAUUCUACUAAUAGAGUGUUUCAAUCAUUUAGUAAAUAGUCUAUCAAUUCGAUUCUGCCCUAGUCUAUAAUAUCACAAUGCAAUGCCUUAUUAAAGAAAAAAAAUCAAACAACUAUAAACCAUCUACCUUUCUAUUUCAAAAAACUCCCUAAAAUUUAACCAGUACAAAACAAUUAAGGAAAAUCUACAACCAAUGCUUUGUUUUUGAUUGAUGCUCAAAAUUUCCGCUCCUGCGUCAUGACAAAAAGUAACAUCUUUUUGUCUUUACACAAUGCAAUGCAAUCAAUUCUUAUAAAUAAAAAUCCUUUUCCCACUUGUCAACUUCUUAGGUGUUUUGACAAAUGUCAUUUUCUCAUAUUUUUCAAAAUUUUCCUUCUACCUUCUAAAAUUGACAUGUGUAUUUUUUUUUUAAAAACAAAUAUGAUUCUCUGUGGCGCGUAAUAUGGGCUUUAUUUGAGGUCCCACAUAUCAGCAACCAAUUGAAUCUAUAACGUGUUUUCUCAAAUCAAUUGCCUUAUUUUCCUCAGACCAUUGUUGCAUUCCAAAUUCACAUCCCAUACAACAUACUUUCUGUAUCCAUUUUACUCUCACAACAUUUUUUCUUCAAUUUAGUAAACAGGAGAAUUGCUUUCAUAUUAACUCUCCCGUAAAUCAUCUCCUCAAUUUGAAUUUGAAUUUUUAAUGAAGUAAAUUGAUAGAGUUCCCAUAUAUAGGCUCUAUUUUCGAGUCGUUAAUCUCUGUUGAUACGUGAGAUCCCAAUUUUUGUGGAACAAAAUGAAUUCCAUAUUGAAAUCACUCUAUAAAUUCGAUUACUGUUCUGGCUAUUAUUCACACCUUGGUUUUCUUCUUCAAUUCAUUUGUCAUCCAGGUUUCUUCUUUAAUCUGAUGUUCUUAAUUUUUAUUAAUUGUAUUCGAUUUUUUAUUAUCAUGAAUGUGUGGUGUAUCUGAUUGCCUUCUUAACCUUGCAUUUGAUGUUGCACUCUAUGUGUUUGAUAAAAUGCCCAUGAGAUAUGUCUUAUCAAAUACUAUUACACACUAUUGUCUGUAUUUUUGUGCUACUUACCACAUGUGUGUGUGUGUGUGUGUUUGUGAUUCCUAACUUUCCUGCAUUUUGUUUGGGUUAAAUCAUAAACUUGGUUAGCUUACUCAUCCGGGAAGAAAAGGAAGAUCAACUAUUUCAUAAAAAAAAGUAGUUGAUAUCUUGGAUAUUGUAUCUAUAUCAGCAUGUCUAUUUUUGAGCAAACCAUGGGUUUUCACUCUCAUUUAGUUUCUUUAUGCUAUAGUUAUAUGGUAAGAAAAGUGAUUAUGCUAAUAUUAACAUGUUGGUUGUUUGUGUGAUAGCUUGAACUUAUCUUUGGUAGGUAUUAUAUGUCAACUGAACCAAAUGUAGUGAAGGAUUGGGCUGUAUUUUAAGUCUUAAAGGAAUUUUCAGCCCUUUUUCUUUUUUGAACAGUUGUAAGAUAAAGGGUUAUUUGUUACUUCUAAAUAGAAAGGUACUUUCAACAAUAAUCUUUAGUCCAAAUAUCAAAUUGAAGAAAUGACUUUUUAUGUGAUUUUAGGUCAAAAAGUUCAUUUACUCUUUGCUACUUAGAGAUAGAUCAUUUGCGCUUAUUGGAUUAAAAUUUUGAUUUUUGACUUUAGAAAUACCAAGUUUCUGGACAUAACAGCUUAUGUGCAUGGCUAUAAGUAAUAUGGAGACACAAUAGGGUGGGGAAAAGUACACAAGGCCCAAAACUAUAGCAACAUAGUUUUCUUUUUUUACCUGAUCGUUAUAUAGUUUUCUUGAUGAACGUUUUUACAAGCACAUUGUCAAAAAUAAAGAGAAAUUUAUUUCCAAAUGUAAUGAGUUUAGUUCAAACCCUAUUUUAUUUCAAAAAGAGAAGAGAUAGUUGGUUGUUUUUUUAUUGCUUCUGUUUUCUUUUGGUUGAAAGUAUCAAGAAUUCAUUUUUAUAGUGUAUUUGUUAUAAGAAUGUGUUUGCUUUCAUAAUUUUUUCUUUAACAUGUUUUUCAGAUAGACACUCAAGGGAAAAAUGUAAUGAGUGCUUCAUCUUCUUGGGUGCCUAAGAAUGAGCUUCUACAGAUUUAAAUAUUCAUUGAUAGUAAUAUGGGAGAAUAAGACCAAAAGACCAAACCCGAUGUUUCUAUUAAGUAAGGUUAAUAUUUACCAUCUCAAGUUUUUCCCAUUUUUAUAAUAUGAGAACAGAUUGAUAAAUUACAUAAAUUUUUCAUAAUUUUGGUAUUUUCUCUAACCAUUUCAUAGGAGAUAAGUUAUUUAUUCAUACUUUUAUGAUUUUAGGGUUUUCUUUCACGAUUUAAAAAGAAACAAUUUGAAAUAAAAGUUUGAUAGAUGAUAUGUGUGUAAACUGUGGUUGUUUUGUGUAUGAAUUUGCAUUCCUGGAUUAGUUUUCUUAAAUUUCUUAUAUUAAUUUCUAAGAAAUAGAAUUUUAUAACGUUAGCAUGUUCAUCCUUCUUUUUUGUGACCUUUUUGGUCAUUUUCUCAUUCUUAUAUAUAUAUAUGAUUCAUAAUUUUGGCAUUCUUAAGCUAAAAAAUACUAAUAUGAAACUUUUAAAAUUAAAAGUUUGAUUUUUUUGAGUUUUUUAGUCAAGAUGACCAUUUUGACCUUUUUGUCCAAUUUGGUCAUUUUUACCGGUUUUAUUUUUUUAAAAUUUUUUUUCGUAAUAUGGUCAUUUUUGCUGAAAAUAGUCAUUUUGAUCAUUUUGCUUAAUCUGAUCAUUUUGACCAUUUCGGUCAAUUUGAUCAUUUUUUAUACAGGGACCAUUAAUGUCUAUUUUGUUAAACAUGGGCUAUUUAUACAAUAUUUUUAUAUACGGACCAUUUUUUUUAAAUUUAUUUAAAUAGGGAUUAUUCCUGUAGUUAAAUAUAUUUAAAACAGGUAAUAAUUACUUUCAUUUUUUAAGUUUAGCAAUGUACUUUUUAUAAUAAAAAGUAUGAUGUUAUAUUAGAGAUAAAACUGAAAUAUGUUGCUAUAUAUUGCAUUUAGCACAUGACCGAUUUGUCGUUUCUAUGAGAUACUAUGCCAAUAACACAAGUUUUUUUUUUUUUUUUUUUUUGGUUAGGUUCCUAAAGAACAUGUACAGAGGAGGAAAAUGACUCAAAUCGAUGUUUGCUUUGGUUAUACACCAAGUCAAGCUACCAUUUUAUAUAAUCUAAAUUAAAUUGAUUUAGACUUUAUUUUUUUUAGAGUAAGUUUAUUAAAAUUUCUUAAAAAAGACAACUCGUAAAUUACAUUCUAUAUGAAUUUUUAAACUUUUGUAGUAAUGGAACUAAAUGAUGCUUCUAUAUAGAUACAAUCCAAAUUAAAGUACUAUGUUAUUUCUUGCAUCUUACUCAACAAUGGGUUAUAAUUAAUUCCACGUUUUUUUCAAUUCUAACUCUUAUUAAAAGUUUAUAGCAUUAUAGUUAAUUUUUCUUAUUGACACAUUAUACUUUAGAAAAUUCACAUAGUUUAGCAUCUUACUUACAUUUAUUUUUAUUACAACAUUAUGGUUUUCUAUUUUUAUUAUGAUCUUCCAUGUGGUUCAAGAUGCUCUUUUGUUGAGGUAGUAUAUAUGAAUAUUACGCAAGGAAAGGAAAAAAUAUUGAUUUUUGUUGUUCCUUUAGCCAAAUUGUUGUUACUGAUGGAACUUUACGCGGCAAGGCUAUUCCCAGAGUUUUCAUUGUGACUACUAAAUAUGUCUGAUAUUUUUUAUAAUAUGAAUUCAAUUACUUAUUUAAUAUUCAUCAUUUCGUUUGUAUUUAUAUAAAAAUAUUUAAUGUUUACAUCUUGAUAUUCAACUGUUUUUAAUCAACCCGUUGGGUCUCACACCUAGUGCAGAAAAAAAAAUCAAAGAACUAUAAACCAUCUACCUUUCUAUUUCAAAAAACUCCUAAAAUUUAACUAGUACAAAACAAUUAAGCAAAAUCUACAAGUAACUAAUGCGUUGUUUUUUAUUGAUGCUCAAAAUUUCCACUCCUGGCUCAAAAAUAACAAAAAGUAACAUCUUUUUGUCUGUUUUUUUUUUUUUCAUAAUAAUAUUAUAUAUUUUAUAGGGACUUACUAUUGUUUUGCGGAGAUGGAAGGAGUGUUUGAGAGUAAACAAACUACACAUUCAUGGGAUUUCAUUGGUCUUGGAGAAGAAAAAACCAAACCUGCGGAAUUUUCCACAAAGGAGCAAGUUAAGUUGAUUGAUGUCAUUUCUGAUUUUGUAACUAACUAACUAACUCUGUUUUUGGUUUUUGAAAUGAUCAACAUCUUUUAUUUUUUUUGUAAUUAGGAUUUUAUGAUGGGAAAGUUUUAGCAAUUCCGACAUGCCACCCCACCGGAAUGGAAAGGAAUAUGGAAACAUUCAACGCCACAAAUUGCAACAGCUUUUCUUCAAUCAGUUCCAUAUGGGUUUUCUUUAGCUUUUAAGUGGAUAAUCCAAUCCCUAAAUGAAUGUUUUUGUUAAAAUUCAUUUGAUUUAUUUUUAAUAUAAUUAAAAAUGAUGCAGAAAGUGGAACAUUUGAGAGCAAAGAAAAAGUUAUUGCUAUGGUAAUUAAUUAUUAAAGUGGAUAAUCCAAUCCCUAAAAAUUGAACUUUCUUCAUGUGCUUCCCUCGAGGUUAAAAUCCCCCACUUCAACAUCUAGUGUGUGUGUGUGUGUGUGUGUUUAAAACUUGAUAGUAAUCCACUUAGACAGGUAAAUUAGACUUUUUAAAGGGAUAAUAUUGGUCAUUUUUCGUAUGUUAUCUCAUUCUCCUUCAUUUUGUAGAUUCCAUCAGAUGGGUUUGAAGCUCUACUAAAUGGUGUCUGUCUGUGUCUGUGCCUCUGUGGUUACACCACACCACACCACACCAAUAUUGCAUUGCAGGUUUGGAAAGAACACUAUUCCUCUUCAUUUUACUACUUUUCCAUCCAAAUCCAAAUCUUGACCUUACCGAUGAAGUAGAUUAAAAACAAAACUGCAAAAAAUGGUCCAUGUCCUAGCAAUAAAUAACAACUGGGUGUGGUAUGUUUAAUAAUUUUUAAAAUUCUUAUCUGACUCGAAACAUUUGAUUACAUUGUUUCAUAGAGUUAUCAAAUGAAUCGAUCUUUCAAAAAAUCAUCUCAAGUUUUGACAAAACUACCUUCCAGAAUCUAAUCUAGAUAAGUGUCCAUGUCCUAUCAACUAAGUUGGGUAUGGUAUGUUUAAUCAUUUUUAAGAUUUUAAUCUGACUCCAAACAUUUGAUUUGAUUUAAUUGUUAAUUGAAUGUAGGUAUUGUUCCACUAAUACAGCCCUUCCACUUGAAUUAUCGGUGAGUUCCUAAUUUCAAUCAGUUUUUAAUGUUUGUGGAUCAAAUGAUCAAUUGAGUUGAGGGGUACUCUUGACCUGUUUUUUUUUUUUUUUAAAUAUAUAUAUGCAAGAACUGAAUUGUUAUGAUAAUAGAAUAUGUUUGUCAAUUAAUUUAAAAGAAAUAAUAGAAAAAGACAAUAUUGACUCAUGUGGUUGAUUUUAGAUUUCUACUUUUAAUAAGUGUAUGAUAUGAACCUCACAUGGCAUGUAUGUAUUCUUCAUUCUUUUUCAGUAAAUAAGAAAGAAGGCUCCUGUUAUGAACUGGAUUCUAAGAACAGAUUCAAUAACAUAAAAAGCAACCAACAGCUUCAAAUAUUGAUUGAUUACAAGAACAAAUGAUAGGUUAGCUGAUUUGAGAUACCUACUCUCCCAAGGAAUAAAUUCCGGAUUUCACAAAAAGAUUGAUCCCUCACUGACCUCUUAUACUUACUAUCUGACCUAACAAACUAAAUAAUAUAAAAUACCUAAGUUGCCCCUGAACUAAUAAGAUUCUCUUUAUUUUAUUGAAUUUCCCAUAUUGCCCUUAUCUAGCAAGUGUGACAUAAGUUGAUGCAUAACAAUUGUUAUGAUCCCACAUUGGCCGAAAGUACUAUAAGUCUAAGUGUCCCCUCCUCCUACAAGCUGGCUUUUGGGAGUGAGUUCUACACUUGGGCUUAUGACAUGAUACGGGCCUAGUAUGGGGAUGGGUCCGUAUCAGCUCCACUCAUCGUUUGUGUUUCAAGCUUACAACAAGAUCUCUGUUGAAGCAAGCUGAUGUAUCUCCGUUCUUUCCCUCUCUACAUCAACAAUAUGAAGGUAACGAACUAAAUAAUGCAUCUUUUUUUUUUCUAUAAAAAAGAGUGUCAUCUUGGUUAUAAUUUAUUGCCAUUCACUUGACUUGAUAAUAUUAUUAUGGGCCUCUCUACUUGUUAUUUCUACUUUAAGCCAGAAAGAAACCCACCCUCAACUCGAAUAUAGCUAGCAAUUUAUGUACUUUCAGUCGUUGUAUAUUUAAUUUGGCAAAUACUAUUGUAGAAUACAAGUGUACAAAUUCAAAAUCUCAAUCAAAUUUAAAUUAAAUUUAAUGACACUUGUCACCAUCUAAAAUAGGUAGGAGGAUAUUAGGAACAAAAAGUAGGAGGCUAUUUAAUUUCUCUUGUAGAAUUAAUGAGUUGGCUAAAAGAAGGCAUGGAUUGCAUUUUGGUAUUUUGGAAGAAGGGGAGUAAUAUGCCAUUCCUAUUCCUACCAUGUUUUUAACAAAUUAUUAUGUUUAUGAAUUAUAAUGUUGCUAUUAAUAAUAAAUAAAUAUUAAGGAAGGUUUAGUUGCAAGUAAUAAUGUUUUAGGUUGUUAAGAGGAAAUUUAAAUUAAUAGCAAUUUACUUUCCCGUUUAUAGGAGCAUACUUACUUUCAGCAUAUAAAAGCAAUGCAACAUUGGUUAUCAAUAAUUAAACUAAGUAGCUUGCUAUUAAUUUAUGAGUACCCUCCUUUAAGUCAUUUACAAUAAAGUAAGGUGGCUACUUUUUAACUUUAUUGCACUUGAAAUUAUUACAGGGCUCUCCUUUGUGUACACCAAUAUUGCAUUGCAGGUACGGAAAGAACACUGUUCCUCUUCAUUUUACUACUUUUCCAUCCAAAUCCAAAUCCAAAUCCAAAUCUUCACCUUGUCAAUCAGGUACAUUCAAGACAAAACUGCAAAAAUGCUCCCUAUCUUUAUGUUUGUCCAAACUCAAAAGACAAUUAUUAUUUAAUUUAGAAAAGGGGCACACACACGAACCAAAAAAUAACAGCACCCACCAUUACCAAUACCAUCAUCUUCCUCCCUUGACCUGUUAUCACCAUCACAACCAUUUUCCUUUAGAAUUUUCACAAAACAAAACUCGAAUCUUCGUGAACUUGUGAGGAUUCAACAUACACACACACAACCAAAAACCUUUUCAUUCAAUACAGAAACACACACACACACACACCAAAAACCUUUUCAUUCAAUACAGAAACACACACACACACACACCAAAAACCUUUUCAUUCAAUACAGAAACACACACACACACACACCAAAAACCUUUUCAUUCAAUACAGAACAACAGAACAGAAGAGGGACGACAAAGAUGAUUAUGCAAGGGAGGUCAAACCCACAGACUGACAUAAUCUUUUUGGAUCCACCAUUGACAUUGUUGUUGCAUCCUCCCACUUCCAGAUAGAGAUGUAUAUGCGUAUAAAUAUCAACCCCUCUUCCUUCGUUGUCAUCCACAGAUGCAACGAUUUCUUUCUGGGUUUUUUCUCGACAAUUUUUCUGGCUUUUUAUUUGAGAUUUUCUUGUUUUGGGACCUGUUUUUUGAUUCAACCCACAAAU
rnacentral:lncRNA from 1 species